UAAGAGCGCAUAGGUGAAUGCCUUGGCACUAGAAGAUGAUGAAGGACGUGACGAACUGCGAUAUGCUUUGGGGAGUUGUAAGUAGGCUUUGAUCCAGAGAUUUCCGAAUGGGGGAACCUGCUAAUAUGAAUUAUUAGCAACACGAAGUGAAUAAAAUAGCUUCGAUGUGAGAAACCCGGAGAACUGAAACAUCUAAGUAACCGGAGGAAAAGAAAGAAAAAUCGAUUCUCUUAGUAGUGGCGAGCGAAAAGGGAAUAGCCCAAACCAAUCUACGGAUUGGGGUUGUAGGACCUUGAUGUGAGACCUCGUUAACAUAGUCGAAACAGUUUGGAAAACUGUAUCUUAGAAGGUGAAAAUCCUGUAGGCGAAAUGUUAAAAGGCUCUAAAGGUAUCCUGAGUAGGGCGGGACACGUGUAAUCCUGUCUGAAUCUGCGGGGACCAUCCCGUAAGGCUAAAUACUCUCUAGUGACCGAUAGUGAACAAGUACCGUGAGGGAAAGGUGAAAAGAACCCCGGGAGGGGAGUGAAAUAGAAAACUGAAACCAUGUGCUUACAAAAAGUCAGAGCCCGUUAAUGGGUGAUGGCGUGCCUUUUGCAGAAUGAACCGGCGAGUUAAUGUUGCAUGCAAGGUUAAGUAGAAGAUACGGAGCCGAAGCGAAAGCGAGUCUGAAUAGGGCGUGCAGUAUGUAGUAUUAGACCCGAAACCGAGUGAUCUAGCCAUGAGCAGGUUGAAGUUUGGGUAAAACCAAAUGGAGGACCGAACCGAUAUACCCGGAAACGUGUACGGAUGACUUGUGGUUAGCGGAGAAAUUCCAAUCGAACUCGGAGAUAGCUGGUUCUCCCCGAAAUAGGUUUAGGCCUAGCCUUGAGUGAAUCGUUAUGGAGGUAGAGCACUGAAUGUGUGCGGGCUUCUUUUAGAGGUACCAAAUGCAAUCAAACUCCGAAUGCCAUAAUAGAAUACUCAGGAGUCAGUGUAUGGGUGAUAACGUCCAUACGCGAGAGGAAAAUAAUCCAGAUCGCCAGUUAAGGUCCCUAAAUUCAUGCUAAGUGGGAAAGGAUGUAGAGUUGUCAAAACAGCUAGGAGGUUAGCUUAGAAGCAGCGAUCCUUUAAAGAGUGCGUAAUAGCUCACUAGUCGAGUGACACUGCGCCGAAAAUGUACCGGGGCUAAGCAUGAUACCGAAACUGCGGAUUAUAAUAAAAUUAUAGUGGUAGGGGAGCGUUCCAAGUGCGCUGAAGAUAGACCGUGAGGACUGUUGGAGCGCUUGGAAGUGAGAAUGCCGGUGUGAGUAGCGCAAGAUGGGUGGAAAUCCCAUCCACCGUUUGCCUAAGGUUUCCUGGGCCAGGUUCGUCCUCCCAGGGUUAGUCGGGUCCUAAGAUAAGGCUGAAAAGCGUAGUCGAUGGACAACAGGUUGAUAUUCCUGUACCACCUAUAUAACUGAAGGAAUGACGAAGAAAGCUAAGAAGAUCCAGUUAUUGGAUUCUGGUCUAAGCACAAAGACAGAUGAAAUAGGCAAAUCCGUUCAUUAAUAAUGUUGAAGUGUGAUGGCGAAGUGGUUUACCACGAAGUCUUCUGACGCUAUGCUUCCGAGAAAAGUUUCUAGGGUUAAUUAUAUAGGUGCCCGUACCGAGAACCGACACAGGUGGGCAAGGAGAGUAUCCUAAGGUGAGCGAGAGAACUAUGGUUAAGGAACUCGGCAAAA
rnacentral:rRNA from 1 species